ACAUGUAUGGUGUAGUGGUCAUUGCAUAUCACUUAAAAUUAAGAGGUCUCAAGUUCAAGUCUUGCAUGUGUA
rnacentral:tRNA from 7 species